ensembl:rRNA 5S_rRNA 5S ribosomal RNA
GUCUACAGCCAUAUCACCCUGAAUGCGCCCGAUCUCAUCUGAUCUCGGAAGCUAAGUAGGGCUGGGCCUGGUUAGUACUUGGAUGGGAGAACGCACAACGUAUGUAUUUAUAGGGU